GAUGAACGCUGGCGGCGUGCCUGAUACAUGCAAGUCGAGCGAAUGGAUUAAGAGCUUGCUCUUAUGAAGUUAGCGGCGGACGGGUGAGUAACACGUGGGUAACCUGCCCAUAAGACUGGGAUAACUCCGGGAAACCGGGGCUAAUACCGGAUAACAUUUUGAACCGCAUGGUUCGAAAUUGAAAGGCGGCUUCGGCUGUCACUUAUGGAUGGACCCGCGUCGCAUUAGCUAGUUGGUGAGGUAACGGCUCACCAAGGCAACGAUGCGUAGCCGACCUGAGAGGGUGGUCGGCCACACUGGGACUGAGACACGGCCCAGACUCCUACGGGAGGCAGCAGUAGGGAAUCUUCCGCAAUGGACGAAAGUCUGACGGAGCAACGCCGCGUGAGUGAUGAAGGCUUUCGGGUCGUAAAACUCUGUUGUUAGGGAAGAACAAGUGCUAGUUGAAUAAGCUGCACCUUGACGGUACCUAACCAGAAAGCCACGGCUAACUACGUGCCAGCCGCCGCUGUAA
rnacentral:rRNA from 1 species